rnacentral:rRNA from 1 species
AUUGAACGCUGGCGGCAUGCCUUACACAUGCAAGUCGAACGGUAACGGGCCUUCGGGUGCCGACGAGUGGCGAACGGGUGAGUAAUACAUCGGAACGUGCCCGAUCGUGGGGGAUAACGAGGCGAAAGCUUUGCUAAUACCGCAUACGAUCUACGUAUGAAAGCAGGGGACCGCAAGGCCUUGCUCGGACGGAGCGGCCGAUGGCAGAUUAGGUAGUUGGUGGGAUAAAAGCUUACCAAGCCGACGAUCUGUAGCUGGUCUGAGAGGAUGAUCAGCCACACUGGGACUGAGACACGGCCCAGACUCCUACGGGAGGCAGCAGUGGGGAAUUUUGGACAAUGGGCGCAAGCCUGAUCCAGCCAUGCCGCGUGCAGGAUGAAGGCCUUCGGGUUGUAAACUGCUUUUGUACGGAACGAAAAGCCUUCUUUUAAUACAGGAGGGUCAUGACGGUACCGUAAGAAUAAGCACCGGCUAACUACGUG